UUACCUCCACAGGUUUAUUUUGUAAACCUGCUUCGCUGCUGCUCCACUCGGCGGUUCCUUUCAGACGCAGAUGAGGUCAAAGUAAACCCAGCUCUGCCUUUGAAUGAAGUGAAAGCUUAAAGGAAACAUGAAAGGGUUCGGAUGGUUUCGUAUGUUAAAAGUCGUGGAGCGUCGACGUGUGUUGGUCUGAUGGAUGGAACCGUUUUAAUAAAACUGAACAUAAAAAUGAAUAUCAACACUGAUGCUAAUGCACCGCCCAGUGGAGUAGUUUAAGGUGUUAGCAUUAAUGUUUAGGGUGUUAGCAUUAAUGUUUAAGGCGUUACAUUAAUGUUUAGGGCGUUAACAUUAAUGUUUAGGGUAUUAGCAUUAACGUUUAAUAUGUUAGCAUCAAUGUUUAGGGUGUCAGCAUUUGUGUUUAAUAUGUUAGCAUUAAUGUUUAAGGUGUUAGCAUUAAUGCUUAGGGUGUUAGCAUUAAUAUUUAAGGCGUUAGCAUUCAUGCUUAGGGUGUUAGCAUUAAUGUUUAGGGUGUUAGCAUUAAUGUUUAAGGCGUUAACAUUAAUGUUUAGGGCGUUAACAUUAAUGUUUAGGGUAUUAGCAUUAACGUUUAAUAUGUUAGCAUCAAUGUUUAGGGUGUCAGCAUUUGUGUUUAAUAUGUUAGCAUUAAUGUUUAAGGUGUUAGCAUUAAUGCUUAGGGUGUUAGCAUUAAUAUUUAAGGCGUUAGCAUUCAUGCUUAGGGUGUUAGCAUUAAUGUUUAGGGUGUUAGCAUUAAUGCUGCUAUGCUAAGACUCGUAGCUCCCAAUUAUAUAAUAAUGACUAACAAAUAUAAUUAAUUUUGGUCAUUUUAAAUGUAAUGAAGCCAAUUACGUAAUAACAUCUGUGAAUUAACACAUUUGUUUAGCAUUAGAAAAAUUCUUUGAAAAUGUCAAAACUGCAGUCGAUAAUAAAUGCUAAUACACAAAUACAACUGCAUUUAUUAGAAAUACAAGGUUUCUGUGCAGUUGGUUCAUUAAUUGGUCUAACGGAGGGAAUAGUCCAAAGACACCUCACUGUAAUUAAUCAAAUAUUCAUCUGUACGUGAAAUUACAAAUUUAAAUAUCAAUACAAAUAAACAAUAUUCUAAAUUUAAAAAAAAAUUCCAAUUGGUUCUUACAGCCAUAAUUAUUAAUGAGUGAAUAUAACGACUGUUCGUCCACUAGACACAUAUUUAAUGAACAAAACCUAAAAAAAAAAAUUCAAAAACAGUUUAAUUUUUAAUAAAUGCACAUGUAUUUAUGUAUUAGCACAUUAUCCGCUACAGUUAUUAUAUUUUCAAAGGACUUUUUAUUUAAUUUGAGACCAAUAAUGUACAAACGUCGUACAUUAUUGUCAACUGUUUUUGUGCAAUUGGUUUCAUUCCAUUUAAAAUGAUCAACAUCAAUUAUCGUUAUUGGUCGUUAUUACAUAAUCAGUUUUAUGUUGUUUUUCAUGAUUACGUUAUUGGUGCUACUGAUUGUCAUAUUUUCGGGGCUAAAAUGUUCGGUUCGUCCUCAGUGUGUGUUUGAGACGGGGUUGGGUUUGGUUUUUCAGAUGAAAUAAGGCCGACUUCAGAUGGUGAAGGGUUCGUUUGAGGUCCAGUGUCGACUUCAGGGAAUGAAAGGCUUUCCUCCGUGAACUCAGACAUCAGAUGAGUUCCACUUCACACUGAAUCCAUCCACACGUUUAAAAACAGACGAAAAUUCGGAUGCCGCUUUAAUGUGAAUCUGUGCGUGAGACUGAAUGUGAGCAGGAUUCAAGACCUUGGUGAGGCGUUCGAGGACCACGUCUAUCCAGUUGACGCAGAUUCAUUUCGUUUUCAGGUGAUUUCAUGGAACGUUUGUCGAGUCGCGUCGUUUAUUUUCCCACGGCUCAGAUGGUAGAGCGGGUCGUCCAAUAACCGAAGGGUUGGCGGUUCGAAUCCCGCUCUGCCCAUGUGCUGUUGCCACUUCCUCCUUGCCUCCAGUGCUGCCACUCACACUGGUGUAUGAAUGUUCAGUGGUGGUGGGAGGGGCCAAAGGCACGAUACAAAUAUGGUUUAACACCAACAGAGUGUGAAUGUGAGAGUGAAUGAAUAAUGGAUCCACUGUUCGCACUUUGAGUACGCGUUCAUAGAAAAGCACUAUAUAAAUCUAAUCCAUUAUUAUUCUUAUUACUUUCGUGAACGUGACCUGAAUCUGUUCGGAAUUUUCCCAUAACAUGCGUAUAGUUUCCGAAGCAGCCGUCGUCUCCCAGUUGGAACCCGGUUCAGUAACAGACGGGUGUAACUACGGCUGCAGGCGGCUGUCGACAGGUUAACCCCAGGUGGAGCAGCAGCGUCAGGAAGAAUCUGGACCAGAUUCAGUCUGGAAUGUUCGCAAUAUUCACUCGCAUUUAUAGCCGUAAGUCGUAACAGCGCCACAGUCUGGACGUCUGCAUCACUUCCUGGUUUCAUGUUGGGUUUUUCCACAGGGUUUAUUAUUAAAGUUAAGCAAAUCUUUCAGCCGUCGGCAACUGGUCGUACGUACAUGUUGAAUUAUAGACGUCAACAGCAGCAGUCGACAAUAAUCGAGUUAAACUUCAGUUAAACUUCCGCCGCACUUUCAGCUACCAUCAGUCCGUUGUACACGUUGAAUUAAAGAUGUCAUAAACUCGUUUAACCAAGGCUGCAGUCGUCGGUUUUUCCACAGGAUUUAAUAACAAUAAGGUUCAUUUGUCAGUUUUUUCUCAUCCCACGUCUGAUUUAUUCCCGAAUCACCCGUAAAAACACCAAAACGCCGCCUGAAAAUAAAACGCUUUAAUCUUUCAUAUGUUUGUCUGAUAUUUUUAGGGCUUUCCACCACUAGUGAAUUUAGUUGCUACGUGUCGCUAACGUCCGCAUGUUUUUCUUAACACCACAUCAGGUCUUUAACGCGUGAUAAUCGAGAUUCGAGAGCGAAGGGACGAACGAACCGCCGCUGCGUGUCUCUGACGAAUGUGUCAAACAGCUGAUCAUAUCAUAUAUUUUUGUACGUUUUCGGCAUCGUGUCACGUUCGCCACCUGCUGGAGUUGAGGACAAACGCUGAUUUCUGUUUUUGUUUUUUUGGUUCUGAUUGUUUCUUUGCCGGUUCAGGGUUUCAUCGGGCUUGUGCAGUUAAACAGAGUUUAUUGAUUAUUUUAUGUCGAUUCCUUUAUCAUUUCAAUAAUCGAGCAAAAACUUAAAGGGAGAUUUAUCUAUAGUCAGAUGAUGUCAGAUAUUUUUGCAAAAAACAAAACAAAAAAAAAAAUGGUUUUGCUGAUUUUAAGCAUGUAUUGUUUUUCUCCUGAAGCCACAGACUCACGUCAAGUCAAAGAUUCAGAUCCAGAUUUGACGUUUUUCAUGUUUUCGUCUUAAGUUUAACUCAAGAAAAGCAGCGAACGGACUCCGAUUCCUGUUUGAUCAGAUCAAGUCUCGCAGAUAAAAGUCGCUAAAUCAUAAACUGUGACUGAAUUAUUUCGUCCGUCGUCUUAAACCAGACUGAGCUUCACGCAGUAAAAGUUCGUAUCAGUAAAUCUGCGCCUUCAGUCAUUUUCACUCCUUUAAAUAUUUUCCAAAGACGGAAACGAUUCAAUAAAAGAAACUUCAACUAGUUUUGACUUCAGCGAUAAUGGAUAAAUAUUAGUUCGUCAGUUUAUUCCAAUUUAUUUGAAGGAAAAGAGUUGAUUCUGCAGAAACGAUGAGAUUAAAAUACAUGUAAAAGACGUGAAUUCAUCUUCUAUAUUUGUUUUAUUUUCAUCACAUUAUCAACGUUAUAAUAAUAAUUCAGUCGUAUCAGAAUCUACAUUUUGACUUUAUUUCAGUUUCUUCUCAUUUCCUGCUUCAGCUUUAAUUUUUCACUUUAACAGUAUUUUGUUUCGGCUAAAUUUCAGGAAAUCUUUCAACUGUCGUCGAUUAGUCACAUGUUGAAUUAAAGACGUCAAUGUAAAUGAGUAAGAGAUUUUAUUUCAGCUAAAUUCUGUAAAAUCUCAGCUAUCAUCAGUCGUUUCUGUUUUCAACCAGUCGUAAAUACAAAUAAGAAUAUGCAAAUUUUGCAUAAUCUAAAAUUUCGGCCUAUUUUUGGACUAUCAUCGUCCGUCGUACAUGUUGAAUUAACGGCGUCAGCCCGGGCUGCAGACCUAAAUGUUGACAGUUUAAAGUCGCAGAGUCAGGAUUUCAGCUCAAAAUCCGAUCAGCUGAUGUUUACGUUGGAGUUGUUCAGUAACGUGUAGAUUUUCUGUGAUGAAUAAAACGACUGAGGUUGAAACAUUACCCACAGUUCGCACAAACGUUGCAGUAAAACUCUGAGACGUGGAGGCGUGGUUUAAGGCACUCAGGGUUCUGAAGACCGUGAAGUCCAGUUCUGGGUUUAGUCCGGGUUCUAAGACUCGACCUUGAGCUGAAAUGGAUGCGAAACCAGCAGCUCAAACAAAUGAACCACGAUCUGGAUCUGGAUCUGGAGUCUGAACGUGACCGUGAAUGCAUCGUCUGUGCUGCUUCAGGUGUUCUUCUGGUCGUCGUCGUGUUGCACUUGGAUCACCGUGUCCUGGUACUUUCUAAACCCAUGGAGUCAGAACCGUUUGGUACAAAAGGGUCAAAGGUUUUUACUGAACAAACUGUAAAAAACAUCCUUCCUGUCGAGUGUUUCAGCGCCGUGAAAAACUCGUAAAGACGGACGUUUUCAUCUGCAGAAAAAAAAGCUGGACUGUCAGUUUCUGAUGCUGUUUUUCUCUGUUUUGUGCAGUUUGUAUUUUUGUGCCAGUUUUAGAAUCAGGCGUCGACGCGUCUGAUGGUUUUAACCACUGACCAACGCAGAGGCUCGGCUCGCACUGCAGCUUCAGGACCAACCCGGAACUAGUCUGACCCAGAACCAGUUCGACCCAGAACCGGUCCGAACUGGAACCAAUCCAACCCAGAACCUGGUCCAAACCCAAACAGGUGCAACUCAGAAUCGGUCCGACACCGAACUGGUCUGACCCAGAACCAAUGUUUAACCUCCUCAGACCCAGUGUGGGUUUUCUGUCCACGUUUGUAGACAGAGUUUUACAGCUUUAGACAAAAAAAAAAAAAAGAAUAAACAAAGGCUGAAGUUCUAACACUUAGAAAUGUGUCCCAUUAUAAACCAGUGGGGAUUUAGAACAUUUAAAAAAUUCAAUAAUCAGUAUUUUCCCAAUCAUUUGGACAAACUUCACAGACCUCACUGCGACUGAUGGUUUCAGAGAAGAAUCUUAAAAAAUUGUUUAUGGACAACGGAUGAUAACUGAUCCCAAAAGUCCAUCAGACCCAUUGGACUAAAAACUAAAGCUAAAAACUGUCCACAGCAAACGGCAUUCUAUAAAAAUAAAUAAAUCCAUCUGAAAAACUGUUGCAUCAUAAUGUUUCUAAUAUCCUUAAUUACUGAAUUAAAAAAGUCCAAACUUGUUUCCUGAUGUUUCAGGAGUUUCACCUGAACCAUCGACUCCAGAAACUGAGAAGUUUAGAUCCAUUCCACACCAGAUCAUGUGACUGUGGUGUCGGAUCAGGACUGGGUUCAGUUCUAGAAUGUUCCCUGGGUUUGUGGGUUCUGAUGGUUCGUCUCGUUUCAGACUUCUCUUAUGCACAAACAUAUUUGGAACAUAAAUUACAUUGGAAAAACCUCAGAGAAUCCAGAUUCAUUGGACAUGGAUUGGGUUUGAGUCUGUGUUUGUCAAACUGGGGUUCAGGUCCCAGACCGGGUCCCAGACCGGGUUUAAUGUGGUCCCUAUUGACCAGAGGAAAAUAAAUAACAUGAGUUAAAGACAAAACAGUGAAAAAUCAUUUUAAUCUGUUUUGAACAAAGUUCAACAUAAAGAAACAAACGGGGGUUAAACUGUAAACCCAUUGGACAGAACCGACCCGAACGGACCUGGUUCUGAUUUCAGGUGGUUCUGGUUCAGAUGUUAAACGGGUCCUGACUGAGCCUCAGCGUUUCACCAUUAAAUAAUAACAUGUGCAAUGAGAUUAAUGUUCAACACAAAUAAAAUGGGUUCAACCUGUGA